rnacentral:rRNA from 1 species
AUUGAACGCUGGCGGCAGGCCUAACACAUGCAAGUCGAACGAGUGGCGGACGGGUGAGUAAUGUCUGGGAAACUGCCUGAUGGAGGGGGAUAACUACUGGAAACGGUAGCUAAUACCGCAUACCAUCGGAUGUGCCCAGAUGGGAUUAGCUUGUCGGUGGGGUAACGGCUCACCAAGGCGACGAUCCCUAGCUGGUCUGAGAGGAUGACCAGCCAAACUGGAACGUAGACACGGUCCAGACUCCUACGUGAGGCAGCAGUUGGGAAUAUUGCACAAUGGGCGCAAGCCUGAUGCAGCCAUGCCUCGUGUAUGAAGAAGGCCUUCGGGUUGUAAAGUACUUUCAGCGGGGAGGCGUUACCCGCAGAAGAAGCACCGGCUAACUCCGUGCCAGCAGCCGCGGUAAUAC